rnacentral:rRNA from 1 species
GACGAACGCUGGCGGCGCGCCUAACACAUGCAAGUCGAACGGAGCUGAGAGAAGCUUGCUUUUCUUAGCUUAGUGGCGAACGGGUGAGUAACGCGUGAGUAACCUGCCCUGGAGUGGGGGACAACAGUUGGAAACGACUGCUAAUACCGCAUAAGCCCACGAUCCGGCAUCGGAUUGAGGGAAAAGGAUUUAUUCGCUUCAGGAUGGACUCGCGUCCACUUAGCUAGUUGGUGAGGUAACGGCCCACCAAGGCGACGAUUGGUAGCCGGACUGAGAGGUUGAACGGCCACAUUGGGACUGAGACACGGCCCAGACUCCUACGGGAGGCAGCAGUGGGGGAUAUUGCACAAUGGGGGAAACCCUGAUGCAGCGACGCCGCGUGGAGGAAGAAGGUUUUCGGAUUGUAAACUCCUGUCGUUAGGGACGAUAAUGACGGUACCUAACAAGAAAGCACCGGCUAACUACGUG